rnacentral:rRNA from 1 species
UACGAAGGGGGCUAGCGUUGUUCGGAAUCACUGGGCGUAAAGCGCGCGUAGGCGGCUUUGUAAGUUAGAGGUGAAAGCCCGGGGCUCAACCCCGGAAUUGCCUUUAAGACUGCAUCGCUUGAAUCCGGGAGAGGUGAGUGGAAUUCCGAGUGUAGAGGUGAAAUUCGUAGAUAUUCGGAAGAACACCAGUGGCGAAGGCGGGUCUCUGGGCCGGU